CUGAAAAGCAGAUGCUGACAAGACAGUAUGCAAAAGAUUAAGUAAGAUGGUUCCUUGGGGUCAACACCUGUGGAAGGGAAGGAAAGGAAGCAGGAUUGUUUAAAGCAAGAAAUUUGGGCUGUGAUGCAGUCCCAGUAAAAUUCGCAGUUGACCCCACAAGAAGUUCUGGUGCUGGCAUGAUUCUUCAGAGUUGUACAGGUUGGAGGUAGAGGGCCAAAGUUUUAUACCCCAUAUGAACUAGUUGUUGGAUGACCUUCAUCCCCAAGAAGUGGACAUAACCUUGGACAAGAUGGAUCUCUUCAAUUCCUGGAAGGGUUGACAGCUGAGAGCUUUGCACCAGCAUCAUUCCCACUAGCUGGAUGUGCAUGCCCUUCCAAUGCAUAAUAUUACCUAUGAUACUCUCCUGUGGGAUUUAUCUCUUUGUAUCAUCAAUGCAAAAUACUUAUUUUAAGAGUUUCUAACAUCACUGCAUUUAGCUUUAGAAAAUUGUACCAUCACUGUCAUAUUUCUCAACUGUCUCUUCAAGGACAUGGGGGUCAUAUCUUUCUGGGUCUUUUCUUUCUUGGCUUCCAUUAGAAAUGCAGAAAUCUCUGAUUGGCAAGAACGGCCACAUGGCUAGCAAAGAGGUCAUACCAAAAGUUUCUUUAAGGCAUUACUUAAUGUUCAUGCAAAGAGGGCAAAGUUUUGGAGACCAUGUUACAUUUGUGUAAGCUCCAUUAGUAACAAGCCUGGAUCCUGAAUGCUACUUCAGGGAUAGAUAGCAUGAAAAAUCUUGGGAAAGGAAUAGCAUUGCAGAAAGUCGUCCAAUAUUAAAAACUUAAGAAAUGUGCUUUAGGCCUUGGAUUUAGUACCUUCACUGGUGUCCAAGGGUUUAUAUUAUAAAGAGGAUUGAAGUACACUAAAUUGUGAGCCAGGCUAGAUUACUUCUAGGAUGUCUUCUAACUCAAGGUCUGAGGUUCUAAGAGACCCCACAGGGUCUUCAACAUUUUCCAGAUUUUAGCUUUGCUAAUUGCAUAUGCUCUCAAGAAUUACAUUUCAGCUGAAAUUCACUGAGUUAGUGCACUCCCAUCACAACCAAAAUGCAUUCUGAGUGGUUUUACAGCAACAGCUUGUGGCUGACAGGCAAUGGAAGAAGAUACAGGAUAAUCUAUGGCCUCCAAGGAAUCAGUCCAGGAGUAAAGACAGCCUCAGCGCUUUCAAGGUGGUUCUUAUCAGCAUAGCACUAAAGCACCUGCAUUUUCUCGUGGACAGAAGAAUCAGGGAGCUGGCUUUGCACAGUGUUGGAUUUGAGAUUUCCCUUCUGCACUUCAUUUUCCCGAUGGCAAAAUAAGAGGGAGGCCCCAAAUGAACUUUAAGCUUCCUCUCAGCCUUAACACUCCAUGACUAAAACAUAAAUUUGGUCCAGUAACUUGUCUUCCAUCUGUGCCCCCGUAAAAAUUAAACCAAAGAGAAGCUAUUAAAGGAAUGCCUGAGCAAAAAUGUAAUUUGUCUUUGGAUAGACAUAAAGUUACUGUUGAGAAAAUAAUUUCCAGUGGCAUCCAGGGUGGCUCUUCACUAGAGAGCCAGGCUUGUGUUUUAAUAAGGCUUUGAGCCAGAUACAGAGAGGAGAGAAACUAUCCUUCAUGAAUCCAGGCUGUGGCAUUCUUCACAAAGACCUUGAAGAACGCAGACCCCAAGCUCUCGGGAUGCUUUAUCAUUUUAUCUAGAAUUAAAUUAAUAAACUUGGUAAAGUCUGUGCUCUAUGGAAAGUCUGUGUCAGCACACAUAAUGAAAACGGAAGCAAAACUGUUCAUAAAUAGAUUAUGAAGCCAGAAAAUCUGUAGUGGUCAAAGAGAAACAAUUGUUUGAAGUUACCUAAGCCCAGCCAAAAGUCCGUUGCUAGCCACUCUCUGGAAAUGCAAUACCUCUUCCAUCUCCUCCAGCCUCCCACUUAUCACAGUGCAGUUGCAUCUUUCUGUUGGUCUAGGGUUUCUAAUUGAGCAUUAAUCAGUUUACAUUUCUAUCAUGGAGAUGCAGAGAUGUCUGUAGGUGUAUCAGAAGAAAGAACCCUUGAUAGACUGUGUAGGUGAACUCCCUUUCCCUACAUAGGGUCCAGGAAGAAAUUACCUAUAAUUUGUAACAGUGCAGCCUGGGAUCACCUGAAUCAUCUCCUCACAUGUGAAAAUAAAAAUCAAGUCAAAUGAAAUCACUUUAUGGAUCUCAAAACACCAGUGAGCCCUCUCACCACCAGACCCCAUACUGAAGUGCUCCUGAGAGGAGAAGCCCCCCAUGGCUGCUGAGCAUCUGGCAUCAAAAGGAGGGCUAAUGAUGCCCUCUAGCGCAAAGUAGCUCCUGGUUCAGUAGCAGUCAUUUAACAGAUGCUGCUUCCUCUGUUGGUUUUGCCCCCAGCCCACUAGAAGUCUCAUGAACUGUUACUUAAUGAGCUAAAACCCACUCCCUAGGUAAGGGAAGCAGAAAAGAUAGAUGUUGUUGCACCAGUUUCAGAUCUCCAGUGAGUGGCGUACCACUGCUCAGAUGGACAUAUUUAAUGAAGGACUUUUAAAGCAGUGUUUGCCAAACUGUCAUCUCCAGGCUACCUGCACUGGCAUCACCUGGAUGGCAGCUAACAAUUCAAAUUCCCAGGCCCCACUACCAGAGAUUUGUGUAAGAAAAGGUCCCAGACAAGGCCAAGGAAUCUACAUUAACAAGCAUCCUAAAAAAUCACAAGCACACUAAAGUUUAUGAACCCUGAUUCCAAAAUAAAUUUAUUUCCUUCCUGCUCCCUGAGAGUUUCAAAACAUCAGGUCUUUACUCACAUUGGAAAGUAGGGUAUUCCCUGAAAAGCACAGUCAAAAUAAAGCACUGAAUCAAUAUGUA